UCCCUGGUGGCUCAAAUGGUAAAGAACCUGCCUGCCAUGCAGAAGACCCGGGUUUGAUCCCAGGUUUGGGAA
rnacentral:tRNA from 1 species